rnacentral:lncRNA from 1 species
CUCUACAACAACCAGUUCCACACAGAUUCCCUGCUGAUGACACCCAUGCUGCUGGUCUAGAAUGCACCUUGAUACUUACAGAUCUAAGGAAUCGCCUACUUCUUAAAGUAUUGGGUAUGGUAAUAUGGAUUCAAGCUGACCACCUCUGUUCUGCAGCUUUUGCUUACCUUCGGGUACAAUCUGGUGGAAUAUAAGUUGUAAGUACUG